GGCACUAGUCGAAAUUGGCUGGCCCUCUAUCAUAGGAAUUAUGCAACAAUAUAAAAUAAAGAAAAUAUAUGCACGAUUUGUAGUCAUGCAAUCGUCCCAUAUUUGACAUUUGACAGGAAACGUUUUAGACACCUUAAUUUUCGAAUAUUCAGUUAUAAAAGGUACGAUAAAUAGGGUAUUGGUCCUCUAGCAUGAAUAACAUGGAUGAUAAUGAGAAAAAUGCAGCUCGUUUAGGAUGUUUGACGUGUCCUUCAGUUAUUCUCCUGCCUGGUGUUGGAACUCUUGUGAAAACUGAGUUCAAAUUGCCUCUGAUUCACAAGUCAAGUAAAGAUGAAGAAGACAAUGCAGAAUUUAUCACAAAA